AAGAGUCGCAGCCAGUAGUCUCAGUCCCAUAAGAGAUCUUCAUUGUCGAGUCAAGAUCAAGAUCGCCAUCGGCUUCUUACAGCCAAAGAGGCCCAGACUGACAACAGAAAAGGGUUGGGGAUUGUAGACGGCCCUCAGUUUGAAUAUCAUGGGCAAGACAAUAUUAGAGAGGACAGUCCUCGACAUGAGUCCAGGAGAAAGGACAGACAGGAUGUGUUCAGCCCAGACACAUCUAGUCUCAGACACAGGCCUUCAGACAGCGAUAAUGGUGAUGAGCAGCCAAGAUUUCCAAUGACAGAAGCUCGAUUUCAAAAGAGAGUACUCCAAUUACUUUUGGAAAUAAGGUCCCAUGUGAAAAAGGUGUCCAUUCAACAGACUUCCAAUGACAAUUACCAAAUAAGGCCUGCCGA